GGGCGCGUUCAGCCAACCAAUAUGUGCGCGGGCUAUCCUGUAGGCAAGAUCGACACCUGCCAGCAGGAGACCAUGUGACUGUGGAAAUUGUCCUCCCAGAGCCUUCUGACCACUCUGGGCAGGGGAAGAGUGGCUCAGGCAGAUAGUGACCUCUGUGUCCUUCUGGGCAGGGGGACAGCGGCGGGCCUCUCAUGUGCAAAGACAGCAAGGAAAGCGCCUAUGUGGUCGUGGGAAUCACAAGCUGGGGGGUAGGCUGUGCCCGUGCCAAGCGCCCCGGAAUCUACACGGCCACCUGGCCCUAUCUGAACUGGAUCGCCUCCAAGAUUGGUUCUAAUGCUCUGCAUAUGAUUCAACCGGCCACCCCUCCACCUCCCACCACUCGACCGCCCCCGAUUCAACCCCCUUCUCCCACCCUAUCUCUGCUCAC
rnacentral:sRNA from 1 species